CACUGCUGGAGAUCUUCGCCCAACAGUUGCUUCGUGUAUAGCAGGCUGCGUGAUCGUCCUGCAAUUCAAGGAGGAGAAACCGCGUUAGUUCUGCCUUUCACAAUCUCGUCGGGGUCAAUGUCCCGGAGCAACCCACCGCUAGAUCCAUCCAAUCGUUGAGAGACGGAGGGGAAGAAACGCUACGUGAACCAAACCAUGGCCGGGACCGUGAGGAAACAUCGCCCGUCGAGAAGAGAUAAUCAACCACUCACUGAAGUUUACGAUUUGCUGUUGCUGCUGCUG
rnacentral:lncRNA from 1 species